GGCAAGAUGGCCGAGCGGUUAAGGCGCCAGAUUUAAGUAUACUUAAAUGCUUCUCCCUGGUCUCGAGAGAGUCGUGGGUUCAAAUCCCACUCUUGUCA